AUGGCGACGCAAAGUGCGUGUCCGCUGUGUGGAUGCCAAGACUCGUGGAGACAUGCUCUACUGUCAUGCACUAUGUCGAGGUGCAUCUGGGCCUUGUCGGAUGAAACACUUGUGUCGCAGAUAACAGGGAACGAGGAACCUCAUGCAAAGAACUGGUUGUUUGAACUCCAUGAGACACUAGACCACGUGAGCUUCACGAGAAUGGUCGUUACUCUAUGGGCUGUUUGGUACGCGAGGCGGAAGCAAACUGUGCAAGUACGUGAAGUUUCAGGGCAGCAGCGACGUUGGAACCCAUCUCCAGCUGGGAUUGUUAAAAUCAAUGUUGAUGGUGCACUGGCAAGGCAUAAGCGACUGGGAGUGGCUGCUGCAGUCUGCCGAGACUCCAACGGUAAUUUUCUGGGCUCGUCAGCAGUUGUCUUUAAAGGAAUUAGAGACCCUCUUAUUUUGGAAACAUAUGCGUGCCGAGAAGCCCUAUCUUUGGCGGAGGAUCUCUACGAGCAAGAUAUCAUGGUAGCUUCAGACUGCCAAGGUGUGGCGCAAGAUAUCAAUGAAGGCACAGGGGGUGUCAAUGGGGCUGUUAUACAUGAAAUAAUAGACCGUAGAGCGAGUUUCUCUUCUUGCUCGUUUGUUUCCGAGCGAAGGAACAAUAACUUCAAGGCUCAUAAUCUUGCUAAAUUCGCUUGUAAUUUAGAUAUAGGGAGGCAUAUUUGGUUGGGCACUCCUCAUGACCCAAACCGUGUACCUAUGAACAUUGUUUUGAAUCAAUAA
rnacentral:rRNA from 1 species